AACGAACGCUGGCGGAGUGCUUUACACAUGCAAGUCGAACGGCAGCACGGACUUCGGUCUGGUGGCGAGUGGCGAACGGGUGAGUAAUGUAUCGGAACGUGCCCAGUCGUGGGGGAUAACGUAGUGAAAAUUACGCUAAUACCGCAUACGAUCUAUGGAUGAAAGCGGGGGAUCGCAAGACCUCGCGCGGUUGGAGCGGCCGAUAUCAGAUUAGGUAGUUGGUGGGGUAAAGGCCCACCAAGCCAACGAUCUGUAGCUGGUCUGAGAGGACGACCAGCCACACUGGAACUGAGACACGGUCCAGACUCCUACGGGAGGCAGCAGUGGGGAAUUUUGGACAAUGGGCGAAAGCCUGAUCCAGCCAUUCCGCGUGCAGGAUGAAGGCCCUCGGGUUGUAAACUGCUUUUGUACAGAACGAAAAGGUUUCUACUAAUACUAGGAGCUCAUGACGGCACUGUAAGAAUAAGCACCGGCUAACUACGUGCCAGCCGCCGCAGUAA
rnacentral:rRNA from 1 species